AUCCGGCUGAUGUGUUCCAAAUAGGACGAAACAAGCAUCCUGGAU
rnacentral:hammerhead_ribozyme from 1 species